GACGAACGCUGGCGGCGUGCUUAACACAUGCAAGUCGAACGGAAAGGCCCUGCUUUUGUGGGGUGCUCGAGUGGCGAACGGGUGAGUAACACGUGAGUAACCUGCCCUUUACUUUGGGAUAACUUCAGGAAACUGGGGCUAAUACCGGAUAGGAGCUCCUUCUGCAUGGUGGGGGGUGGAAAGUUUCGGCGGUUGGGGAUGGACUCGCGGCUUAUCAGCUUGUUGGUGGGGUAGUGGCUUACCAAGGCUUUGACGGGUAGCCGGCCUGAGAGGGUGACCGGCCACAUUGGGACUGAGAUACGGCCCAGACUCCUACGGGAGGCAGCAGUGGGGAAUAUUGCACAAUGGGCGGAAGCCUGAUGCAGCAACGCCGCGUGCGGGAUGACGGCCUUCGGGUUGUAAACCGCUUUCGCCUGUGACGAAGCGUGAGUGACGGUAAUGGGUAAAGAAGCACCGGCUAACUACGUG
rnacentral:rRNA from 1 species